rnacentral:lncRNA from 1 species
UUAUUUAAUUUAUCAUUUUAAUUUUGCAGUUACAAAGUAAUGAUAAUCUCGAGUCUUUAUAGACUAAUAUUAAAGAUCUCAAUUUGGCUCAUAUAUGUCUAUAGAAAUUUAAAUAAUUAUGAUUAAUAUUAAAAAUUCAUACUAUUAUUUUCACAGGGUUUUGAAUAUGAGGAAAAUACUCUAGCUAAGCCACCUCAUGCACAAGUGAUUUAUUAGCCUAUAAUAAUUGAAUCUAAUCUAAUUAGUUGUUUUUUUAAAUCAUUUUUCUAAGACAAUCAGCGUGCAGUCUUCCCUCUCCUACGGUUGAUGGUGCCAAUAGGGGGAACUCCGUUCCAAUAAAAGUGCUUAGUAUAUUUAUUAAUUUUAUUUGUCUCUCUUAAUUUGUAUAAUUAUUCAACCGUGAUAGGAAGGAAACAAUAAACGGGUCCACUUGGAGGGAAGCACUUAUAAACCAAUCGCCCUCAACCGGAAGAAGGACAGGCUCAGGAAGAUACUUUUGAGUUUAAAAAAAUAAAUAAUAUAAUUCAAAUAAUAAUGCCUAGUUCAUUGAUGAAGGUUGGAGGGAAAUUCAAAAAAUUAUGGGGAAAAUUAAUAUGCAUUGUAUAUAUUUCAAUUGAUUAAUACGCUUAAAAAAAGUAGUAUAUAACAAUAAAUACGCCUAUUUUUUUAUCCGAUUUCAAUCAUUAACUUAUCUAAGUCCAUUUCAUUAAUAGAAAAAAGGUUUAUUUGUUAUGGCAAAGAAGGUCACAAUAGUUGGUUGUAAUAUUCUUCUUCGAGUUCCAUCUUAUAUGUCGUAGAAAUCCACAUUGGUUGUGUUAGAACAUGAGUUACUAGAUAUAUGACCCUUUUAUAUAAUUAUAAUUAUUUUUAAAUCAUGUAUAUUUACAAACAUAUUGUAGAUUUUGUACAUCACAAAGUUUUGUAUCAUCAUCAAUUGGUAGUUUUUGUCUGGACUACCAAGUAAAACAUCUAGUUAUGCUAUAUAUCACUUUUUUUUUUAAAUCUAUGCUAUAUUCGAUCUCAAGAUCGAUUCAGAAAACAUUUCUUAUUUUUAAAUGGUGCUUAUUCUCUCAACUAUAUUAGAUUGUAUUGUUCUAAAGGGUUUUUUUCAUCAUUAAUAGGAAAAUUACAACCCAAGAUACACUUUCAGAGUCUGACUUGUUCCAUCUUUUAGAUGAUAUUUCCCUUGGAACUUAUUUUGCUCUAUUUGGAACUAAGUACUGGGCAUGCUGGGAAUUGAAUGCAAGGAAAUUUCAUCACAAAAAACCUAACCUUCUACUUAAUUGAUUUAUUUACAUCGAUUUUGAGAAAUUUUUAAAAUACAUACAAUAGUUAAAACAAGAACAAAGCUUUAUUAAUAGAAGUCCGCUACUUUGAUGAUUUUUUUUCUACUAAUUUCUGUCUAAUUUAUUGAUGACAUGAUGUGGUCAUUUGGUAAAUAAUAUUGAAACUAAAAGUAUUUUCAAAAGUUCUUCAAAACAAACAACAGGGUGACCAAGAACAUUAGAUUUCAUCCAAAUUUUUCAUUCUGCAAGGUUCAAAGAAGUCUGAAUAUAUAUCGAAUUUGUCAAAUGGGUGUAGAGUAGAAAUUGGGAUUUUUUACAAGUGGCGUCCAAAAUAUGAGGUGAAGGGUUCAUAUUUACUGUGAUAUGCAUAAUGUUAAUAAUAAAAUUAUGUUAAUAUUCAA